rnacentral:rRNA from 1 species
GACGAACGCUGGCGGCGCGCUUAACACAUGCAAGUCGAGCGGUAAGGCCUUUCGGGGUACACGAGCGGCGAACGGGUGAGUAACACGUGGGUGACCUGCCCUCAGCUCUGGGAUAAGCCCGGGAGACUGGGUCUAAUACUGGAUAUGACCUCAUGCUGCAUGGUGUGGGGUGGAAAGCCUUGUGCGGCUGGGGAUGGGCCCGCGGCCUAUCAGCUUGUUGGUGGGGUGAUGGCCUACCAAGGCGACGACGGGUAGCCGGCCUGAGAGGGCGACCGGCCACACUGGGACUGAGACACGGCCCAGACUCCUACGGGAGGCAGCAGUGGGGAAUCUUGCGCAAUGGGCGAAAGCCUGACGCAGCGACGCCGCGUGAGGGAUGACGGCCUUCGGGUUGUAAACCUCUUUCAGCCCUGACGAAGCGAGAGUGACGGUAGGGGCAGAAGAAGCACCGGCCAACUACGUGCCAGCAGCCGCGGUAAUACGUAGGGUGCAAGCGUUGUCCGGAAUUAUUGGGCGUAAAGAGCUCGUAGGCGGUCUGUCGCGUCGGCCGUGAAAACCUGUGGCUUAACUAUGGGCUUGCGGUCGAUACGGGCAUCACUGGAGUUCGGCAGGGGAGACUGGAAUUCCUGGU